AGGCGGGCUGGACACCCCCCGCUGGGCACUGCUUCACGGCGUGCGCGGCGGGGCCGGCCCUGCUGAACUAUUCACCCGUGUCUUUUGCGUACCUCUUGUUUCCUGGGCGGGCUCGCCCGCCACCAGGACCAACCACAAACCUUUUUGUAAUAGCAAUCCGCGUCAGUAACAACGUAAUUAAUUACAACUUUCAACAACGGAUCUCUUGGUUCUGGCAUCGAUGAAGAACGCAGCGAAAUGCGAUACGUAGUGUGAAUUGCAGAAUUCAGUGAAUCAUCGAAUCUUUGAACGCACAUUGCGCCCUUUGGUAUUCCAAAGGGCAUGCCUGUUCGAGCGUCAUUUGUACCCUCAAGCUUUGCUUGGUGUUGGGCGUCUUUUGUCUCCAGCUCGCUGGAGACUCGCCUUAAAGUCAUUGGCAGCCGGCCUACUGGUUUCGGAGCGCAGCACAAGUCGCGCUCUCUUCCAGCCAAGGUCAGCGUCCAGCAAGCCUUUUUUUUCAACCUUUGACCUCGGAUCAGGUAGGGAUACCCGCUGAACUUAAGCAUAUCAAUAA
rnacentral:misc_RNA from 1 species